rnacentral:tRNA from 1 species
GUGAGUGUAGCUCAAUGGUAGAGCGCUGGACUGUGGCUCCAGUGGUUGCGGGUUCAAAUCCCGUCACUCACC